CCCUUAGAUGUUCUGGGCCGCGCGCGCGCUACACUGACUGCUCCAACAAGUUACCUGGGCUGACAAGCAUCCGGGAAAUCUUGCAAAGGCAGUCGUGAUGGGGAUAGAUUCUUGUAAUUUUUGAUCUUCAACGAGGAAUUCCUAGUAAACGCAAGUCAUCAGCUUGCAUUGAUUACGUCCCUGCCCUUUGUACACACCGCCCGUCGCAUCUACCGAUUGAAUGGAGAGGCAAAAUCUUCGGACCGUGACGCUUGGGAGUCAAAUCUCGGGCUGUCGUGGGAAGUGGAUUAAACCUUUCUAUUUAGAGGAAGGUAAAGUCGUAACA
rnacentral:rRNA from 1 species